rnacentral:SRP_RNA from 1 species
AGCCGGGUCCCGCACAACCUGGCCCUGUGAACCCCGCCAGGCCCGGAAGGGAGCAACGGUAGCAGGGAUGUGGUGUGUUGCGGUGCACCUGGCUAUC